UAGAGUUUGAUCCUGGCUCAGAUUGAACGCUGGCGGCAGGCCUAACACAUGCAAGUCGAACGGUAACAGGGAGCAGCUUGCUGCUCUGCUGACGAGUGGCGGACGGGUGAGUAAUGUCUGGGAAACUGCCUGAUGGAGGGGGAUAACUACUGGAAACGGUAGCUAAUACCGCAUAANGUCUACGGACCANAGUGGGGGACCUUCGGGCCUCAUGCCAUCAGAUGUGCCCNGAUGGGAUUAGCUNGUAGGUGGGGUAACGGCUCACCUAGGCGACGAUCCCUAGCUGGUCUGAGAGGAUGNCCAGCCACACUGGAACUGAGACACGGUCCAGACUCCUUACGGGACGCAGCA
rnacentral:rRNA from 1 species